rnacentral:lncRNA from 1 species
CAUUAAGGCUGAAGGCCGGCUACACAGCUGACCCACCAGUCGGUGGAGUACGCCAAGACACAGACCAUACGGAUGCAUAGUUUGACUAGUCUACCAAUAUACCAUCGACUAGUUACUCGCACUAAUCGACUAGCAUGCCGAUUCACAGAUCGACUAGAACACAUACACAAAUCGGCUCAGCCAAUGUUCACACAAUCAACCAGUUUUGUUAAA